UACGUAGGGUGCAAGCGUUGUCCGGAAUUAUUGGGCGUAAAGAGCUCGUAGGCGGUCUGUCGCGUCGAAUGUGAAAACCCGGGGCUCAACCCCGGGCCUGCAUUCGAUACGGGCAGACUAGAGUUCGGUAGGGGAGUCUGGAAUUCCUGGUGUAGCGGUGAAAUGCGCAGAUAUCAGGAGGAACACCGGUGGCGAAGGCGGGACUCUGGGCCGAUACUGACGCUGAGGAGCGAAAGCGUGGGGAG
rnacentral:rRNA from 1 species